rnacentral:siRNA from 1 species
CUCCAAGGAGCCGGAGUCUCAUC